GUGUGUGCCUCCGUUUCUGGGCCGACAUUCUGUCUCUGGCAACUAAUGGCAGGCCCUUCUCCCUGCAAGGGAUGCUAAAGGAGAACAAAGAGAUCAGGUGA